GCUCACCGAUAGCAGGAAUAAUAGUAGGCACUGCGUCUUCACGAAGGAAGCCGGGCUGCAGGAAUACUGAUUGACGAAAAUCCAGCGAGCACAAUAUUCCGAACCUUAUCGGUUAAGCGCUUUCUUAUCUAGAAGACAUGGGUCGUCAGGCAUACGUGUGUUCCUAUUGCGUCCUUGCACAGCACAUGGUUCCCGCGGGUAGCGAAGCAAGCACUCGGCGGUAAAUGUUAUCCGCAUCGUCCCGUUGCCCGUUGGGCACUCUCCUGAACACGUUCACCAACGAUGAAACGCACUUCGCGACUCCGCGCACAGCAAAAAUUCUCACGACAAUAAUUUAAAGAAUGCGUACAAGUGCGGAACACCAAAACACAUGAAG
rnacentral:lncRNA from 1 species